GUUUGACUAUUAAUCAGACAGACAUAAUCUCUGCCACACACCUACUGACAAUUAGAUGCUAAACAAAAGACCCCUCGUUUAUCAGUGGAAUGAAAUCUGGGUUGUAAGUCGGGGACGGGUCCAUGAAUUGUCAGAAGUUAGGGGAGGCAACUUCACGAGGCAAGUGGUCUGGGGGUCGCCUUAAGGCCCCCAGUGGUGGGGACCAUGGGGCGAAGCUAUCGGAUUUUAUAGAUUUUGUUGAGCUUGAAAUAAGCCUCCUAUGUAGUCAUUUUUACUAUUUUCUGUUAUUUUCAAUGACUUAAAAUUAAUACAAUUACACAGAUUUUAGGUGGGUUCUUUUUUAAAGGAACAAUAACAUAUUAUUUCUCUCUAUAAAGGUAACAAUAGAUUAAAAAAUCUUGUCAUUUUUUUCUCCGAGAGUAGAAGAAAAAAAAAGAUUGCUUUAUUUAUCGUUCAUUUUUUUUUUUUAUUAAC